GAUGAACGCUGACAGAAUGCUUAACACAUGCAAGUCGACUCGAGUCUUCGGACUUGGGUGGCGCACGGGUGAGUAACGCGUAAAGAACUUACCUCUUAGACCGGGACAACAUCUGGAAACGGUUGCUAAUACCCCGUAGGCUGAGGAGCAAAAGGAGGAAUCCGCCCGAGGAGGGGCUUGCGUCUGAUUAGCUAGUUGGUGAGGUAAUAGCUUACCAAGGCGAUGAUCAGUAGCUGGUCCGAGAGGAUGAUCAGCCACACUGGGACUGAGACACGGCCCAG
rnacentral:rRNA from 1 species